rnacentral:rRNA from 1 species
AACGAACGCUGGCGGCGUGCCUAACACAUGCAAGUCGAGCGAGAAAGCCCGCAAGGGUGAGUAAAGCGGCGCACGGGUGCGUAACACGUGGAUAAUCUGCCCUGAAGUCCGGAAUAACUCGCCGAAAGGCGUGCUAAUGCCGGAUGAGACCACGGGAGCUCUGGCUCCUGGGGGAAAAGGUGGCCUCUGUACACAAGCUAUCGCUUCAGGAUGAGUCCGCGGCCCAUCAGCUCGUUGGCGGGGUAAUGGCCCACCAAGGCUACGACGGGUAGCUGGUCUGAGAGGACGAUCAGCCACACUGGAACUGAGACACGGUCCAGACUCCUACGGGAGGCAGCAGUGGGGAAUCUUGCGCAAUGGGCGAAAGCCUGACGCAGCAACGCCGCGUGUGUGAUGAAGGUCUUCGGAUCGUAAAGCACUGUCGCGAGGGACGAAUAAGGGGCGGGCUAACAUCCCGUUCCGAUGACGGUACCUCGAGAGGAAGCACCGGCUAACUCUGUGCCAGCAGCCGCGGUAAUACAGAGGGUGCAAGCGUUGUUCGGAAUUAUUGGGCGUAAAGCGCGUGUAGGCGGCUUCGUAAGUCGGAUGUGAAAGCCCUCGGCUUAACCGAGGAAGUGCGUUCGAAACUGCGAGACUUGAGUACCGGAGAGGGUGGCGGAAUUCCCGGUGUAGAGGUGAAAUUCGUAGAUAUCGGGAGGAACACCAGCGGCGAAGGCGGCCACCUGGACGGAUACUGACGCUGAGACGCGAAAGCGUGGGGAGCAAACAGGAUUAGAUACCCUGGUAGUCCACGCCGUAAACGAUGAGCGCUAGGUGUUGUGGGUGUUGACCCCCGCAGUGCCGCAGCUAACGCAUUAAGCGCUCCGCCUGGGAAGUACGGCCGCAAGGCUA